rnacentral:rRNA from 1 species
UCUAAAUCUGGAACAACACUGCCAACGCGGUGCUAAUACCGGAUGUGAACAUUGGAGCGCAUGCUUUGAUGUUUAAAGAUGACCUCUCCUUGGAAGUUAUCGUUUAGAGAUGGCCUUGCGGCCCAUUAGCUUGUUGGCGGGGUAACGGCCCACCAAGGCAGUGAUGGGUAGCCGGUUUGAGAGAGCGAUCGGCCACAUUGGGACUGAGAUACGGCCCAGACUCCUACGGGAGGCAGCAGUAGGGAAUUUUGCGCAAUGGACGAAAGUCUGACGCAGCAACGCCGCGUGAGUGAUGAAGGUCUUCGGAUUGUAAAGCUCUGUUGAGUGGGAAGAAUAACCUCGUAAAUAAUACGUACGAGGGAUGACGGUACCAUUCGAGGAAGCCCCGGCUAACUACGUGCCAGCAGCCGCGGUAAUACGUAGGGGGCAAGCGUUGUUCGGAAUCACUGGGCGUAAAGGGAGCGUAGGCGGAUUGGUAAGUUAGGAGUGUAAUCCAUAGGCUCAACCUGUGGCUUGCUUUUAAUACUGCCAGUCUUGAGUAUGGGAGAGGAUGAUGGAAUUCCAGGUGUAGCGGUGGAAUGCGUAGAUAUCUGGAAGAACACCAGUUGCGAAGGCGGUCAUCUGGCCCAAUACUGACGCUGAGGCUCGAAAGCUAGGGGAGCAAACAGGGUUAGAUACCCUGGUAGUCCUAGCCGUAAACGAUGGAUACUAGAUGUUGGGAGGGUUAUC